UGGGUGGCGCAGUCGGUUAAGCGUCCGACUUCAGCCAGGUCACAAUCUCGCGGUCCGUGAGUUCGAGCCCCGCGUCAGGCUCUGGGCUGAUGGCUCAGAGCCUGGAGCCUGUUUCCGAUUCUGUGUCUCCCUCUCUCUCUGCCCCUCCCCCGUUCAUGCUCUGUCUCUCUGUCCCAAAAAUAAAUAAACGUGGAAAAAAAAUUAAAAAAAAAAAUCUUACUGGCUGAAAAGCAGGGAAAACAAGUGGCUAAUCAUCUAUAAAAUGGAAAGAACAAUGGGAGAAACUGACAAUUCCAUGCUUUAUGACGGCAAUAUAAAAUAAGUCACGUGUUACAGUUCACUUGGCUUAAGCUAUUUAUUCACAUUUUCUUCAGCCUUUGCCUUCCCCCAAACAGAUUAAUCUAAAAUUUGUCUAUACUUAAAAUUCACUUUUCUACAGUUUUCAACCACCCCUCCGCAAGUUCAUCUCCUGUUUCACGUAUCCUAUUUUUAGAGGCCAUCGCAUUGUCCCGUCAAAUGUAACUCUAUCUGUAUGUAACUAUGAAUCUCCCUGAUCCCAGGCUAACACCUAAGUUGCCAAACAAAAGCAUCUGAAAACAGAAGAAGAGGCAAAGACUUAGAAAGCACUGAACUGAGAAACCAACCAACUGGAACAGAGGAAGAAAUAAGCUGUAUUCAUUUUCAGUCAGGUGACCCCAUUGUGGAACUAUCUUCUUAGAGCAUUCAGUUCUCCUGAAUGAUAAUUCUACCAAGCAGCUCACAGGAGAGGGCAGAUUUGAUCCCUAAAGUAACAUGCAUCUAGAAAAUACAGUUUAGCCAAUUAGGUUGUUCAAUUUCUAGAACUGUGCAGAUACCGCUUCUGAUAUCUCUGCCCCUGAUUCAUCAAGUCCACCACAGAGAUCAUCUAUCAACAGACCUUUGCUGAAAAUGAAAACAACUGACAAGGAAAUACUUGGCUCCAGAGGCCUAUGGAUAAUGUUGCAGUUUCUGGCCGGCUCAGUGUUCAGCUUAAACAACUAUUAUCAUGGAAAAAAAAAGGGGAGAAUAAAUAUCUGGACACAACAAGCAAGCUGCACUGUAGAUGGGAAGUAUAAAAUCGCCUGAAACAGGUAAGUA
rnacentral:lncRNA from 1 species